rnacentral:rRNA from 1 species
AUUGAACGCUGGCGGCAGGCCUAACACAUGCAAGUCGAACGGUCACAGGAAGAAGUUUGCCUCCUUGCUGUAGCGUGGGGGACGGGAGUGUAAUGUCUGUGACCCUGCUUGAUGGCGGGGGUUACUUACUGGAACCGGAAGCAAAACCCGCAUAACGUUGCAAGACCAAAGUUGGGUAGUUUAGGGCGUUUUGCCAUUGGCUGAGACCAGACGGGAUUAGCCAGUAGGUAGGGUAACGGCUCACCAAGGAAAAGAUCCGUAGCUGGUCUGAGAGGGUGACCAGCCACACUGGAACUGAGACACGGUCCAGACUCCUACGGGAGGCAGCAGUGGGGAAUAUUGCGCAAUGGGCGAAAGCCUGAUGGAGCAAUGCCGCGUGAAUGAUGAAGGCCUUCGGAUCGUAAAGUACUGUUAGCAGGGAGGAAGGAAGGUGUGUGAAAACCUGCGCGUAUUGACGUUACCCGCAGAGAAAGCACCGGCUAACUCCGUG